GACGAACGCUGGCGGCGUGCAUCACACAUGCAAGUGGAGCGACGAACCGGGCUUCGGCCCGGGGCAGAGCCGCGAACGGGUGAGUAACACGUGGGUAACCUGCCCUGAUGAUUGGGACAACCCGAGGAAACUCGGGCUAAUACCGAAUGUGCCCUCCGGCCAUAAGGCCGCUGGGGAAAGGAAGCCUCGGCCUCCGCAUCAGGAUGGGCCCGCGGCCUAUCAGCUUGUUGGUGGGGUGAUGGCCUACCAAGGCGACGACGGGUAGCCGGCCUGAGAG
rnacentral:rRNA from 1 species